UCUCUCCUGAAAUCUGGGACAAUAUUUUAAUGAAUGCACAGGAACUCGAACAACCUUCCUGUAUCACGGGAAAACUUCAGCCACCUUCAGCUGUCAACCGUUUUCUGUCGCGUUUUUCAUAGUUUAUCCUUUUCUAUCAUAUGCGUGAUGUACUGUAUAGUUUCUGCUCGAGCGGUAAAUUAACAGUCGUUCUGUUGGCGGGAGUUGCUAAAAGUUUGGCAGGAAGGAUAGUUGCUAUGGAUCCACUGACGAAUUGGAUUAAAAUCCGUGUGCAUCAUCCGGAUCAGAUUUUCAUUAUUGCAGCUUUCGAGAAUGAGGCUAAUCGGACGCAAGAUACUUUCCCCCGGUGUGGGAUCUUAUAGGCCACCACCCCGGAACCCAAGGUCUUAAACGCCAGGUUCGCACGGCGUCUUGAUUAAGUGUCCCGCCUGUGUUUUGUAUUGCGAUUAAGAUGUGUCCACAUAGCUUAACAAUACUUUAAAAUGAGAAAAAUGUAUUGAUAAACAUUUCAAAAUAAAUUUCAAACUAUUUGCCUAACAAUUGUUUUUGUUAUUUAAUAGUGCAUUUGGGAUUUAUUUUAAAAAUAAAAACGAAAAA